rnacentral:snRNA from 1 species
ACAACUUCUUGUCAACUGUUUGAAAUGGGCCAUCCUGAUCAUAGUGUAGUAUCUGUUCUUAUCAGUUCAAUAUCCGACAUGUUCUCGAUGUGAGAACUCCACAUCAAACGGAUUUCCGGAACAGGGAGUCGGACCAGGAGCCCGCCUCCUCCACUCCACGCAUCAACCCUGCACCGCAG